GUUUUAAAUUAUUUCGCACUUAGAAAAUUGACUUAGAUUAUAAUUUUGUACGAAUUCAAGAUUUUGUUGUUGCCUCAAAGUGUUAUCGGGCCUUGGGGUACUCAGAUAUUGGGUAAGUGGGUAAGUGGAUUGUGUCUGCUCGAUCAGUUAGAUUUCAUUGGCCUUUACCAACGACAGGGAAUCCCCGAAAGUAUGCAGAAAGUUGGGCCAAUGCAAUUGACUGAAACGGAGUUUGGUGGCCAGCUUACCCACUACCCUUGUUCAACCGAAAAAUACAAGAACACGGAGGAACAAAGUUUAAACUAGCCAAACAAAACAAAACAAAGCAGAACAAAACAGAGCUAAACAAAACACAAAACGCAACAGGGAGCUGGUCAUGUUUUUGUUAAUUAAAAUUGGCAUAGCAGCAGAGAGAAAGGAGCGGCGGGAACAACAUUUUUGCAUUUCCUUUACUUUUUCGCUGCAGAAAACAUUUGAACGUUUGGCUUUUCAACUGAAUGAAUGCCAUUUCUCUCUAUAUUUACCUUUGGAGUGCUUUAUUAUUUAAUGGACAAUUUAUUUACUUAACACUUUGGCCCUCUGCAAGGGUAUACGAAUUGCAAUGCAUUUUUCUUAGCGAAGAAGCGAAAACAGCCAAUAUUACCGAUUAUCUUAUAUUAUGUUUACAUCGCAAACAAUCUUCAACUGUUCGGCAUCACAUUUGAAUCUUAUAAAGUUCGGAGUCCUGUGAAAUUCUUUUCCCAGUGAACUUUCGCGUCUUGUA